rnacentral:rRNA from 1 species
UAAAAUAAUUAAGGGCACACAAAGGAUGCCUAGGUAGUAAGAGCCGAUGAAGGACGUGGUAAGCUGCGAUAAGCCUAGAUAAGUUGCAAUCGAACGUAAGAGUCUAGGAUUUCCGAAUGGAGCAAUCUAUUAAGAUGGAGUCUUAAUACGAAAGAGGGAACCGCGUGAACUGAAACAUCUAAGUAACGCGAGGAAAAGAAAGUAAAAACGAUACCCAAAGUAGCGGCGAGCGAAAUGGGUCAAGCCUAAACCUUAAAUAUGUCAAGGAUACAGCCGUUGUAUUUAAGGGGUUGAGGGACUAAGUUGUGAAGAACUGUAAGAUAUUCAAUAUAGUGUAUUGAUGAAUUAGAAUUGUAUGGAAAGAUAAACCGUAGAAGGUGAGAGUCCUGUAUAAGUAAAUCCUUACACAUAUAACUUUGCUCCCAAGUAACAUGGAACACGAGGAAUUCUGUGUGAAUCUGUGAGGACCAUAUCUCAUAAGGCUAAAUACUCUUACUAACCGAUAGCGCAUAGUACCGUGAGGGAAAGGUGAAAAGAACCCCUGGAGGGGAGUGAAAUAGAACCUGAAAUUGUGUGCUUACAAGCGGUCAGAGCCCAUUUGGGUGAUGGCGUGCCUUUUGGAGAAUGAUCCUGCGAGUUACGUUAAACGGCGAGGUUAAGUAUAACGGAGCCGAAGGGAAACCAAGUCUUAAUAGGGCGAUUUAGUCGUUUGGCGUAGACGCGAAACCUGGUGAUCUAAACCUGUCCAGGAUGAAGCUGUGGUAAGACACAGUGGAGGUCCUAACCCACCGCCGUUGAAAAGUUGGGGGAUGAGGUAGGUUUAGGGGUGAAAAGCCAAUCGAACCAGGAGAUAGCUCGUUCUCUCCGAAAUGCAUCUAGGUGCAGCCUUGAGUGUUCAAUUAUGGGGGUAGAGCACUGAAUGAUCUAGGGGGCAUAUUGCUUACUGAAAUCAAUCAAACUCCGAAUACCAUAAUUUAUAGCUCAGGAGUGAGACUAUGGGAGUUAACUUCCAUUGUCAAAAGGGAAACAACCCAGACCACCAGCUAAGGUCCCUAAUUAUAACUAAGUGGGAAAGGAGGUGGAGAUUCACAAACAACUAGGAGGUUGGCUUAGAAGCAGCCAUACCUUUAAAGAGUGCGUAAUAGCUCACUAGUCGAGAGUCUCUGCGCCGACAAUGUAACGGGGCUAAGUUAUAAACCGAAGCUGUGGAAUCCUUAUGGAUUGGUAGGAGAGCGUUCUGUAGGCCGUUGAAGAAGAAGGGUAACCAACUUUGGAGGUAUCAGAAGUGAGAAUGCAGGAAUAAGUAGCGAGAAAGGGGGCGAGAAUCCCCCUCGCCGGAAGACCAAGGUUUUCAGGGUAAAGCUUGUCUUCCCUGAGUAAGCCGGGACCUAAGCCCAGGCUAUAAUGCGUAGGCGAAUGGAAAACAGAUUAAUAUUUCUGUGCCAGUCAUUUAUUGUGAUGGAGGGACGCAGAAGGGUAUGUGCGCGGACGAUCGGUUGUGUCCGUAGAAGUAUGUAGGGUGACUUAGUAGGAAAAUCCAUUAAGUUAUAUCUGAGGUAUGAUAUACAGUCGUAAGAUGAAUGUGCAAAUCCCACGCUGCCAAGAAAAGCUUCUAACGUUAAUAUUUGACUGCCCGUACUGCAAACCGACACAGGUGGUCAGGAUGAGAAAUCUAAGGCGGACAGGCUAACUCUCGUUAAGGAACUCUGCAAAAUAACCUCGUAACUUCGGGAGAAGAGGAGCCCUUGUGUGUGAGUAUACACGCGAUACAAAGCGCACGAGGGUCGCAGUGAAGAGGCUCAAGCAACUGUUUAACAAAAACACAGGUCUAUGCUAAGCUGGAAGGCGAUGUAUAUGGGCUGACACCUGCCCAGUGCUGGAAGGUUAAGAGGAGGAGUGAGAGCUCCGAAUUGAAGCCCCAGUGAACGGCGGCCGUAACUAUAACGGUCCUAAGGUAGCGAAAUUCCUUGUCGGGU